rnacentral:rRNA from 1 species
CUAGUUGGAGAGGUAAGAGCUCACCAAGGCAUCGAUCGGUAGCUGGUCUGAGAGGACGAGCAGCCACACUGGGAUUGAGAACGGCCCAGACUCCUACGGGGGGCAGCAGUGAGGAAUUUUCGUCAAUGGGGGCAACCCUGAACGAGCAACGCCGCGUGCAGGAAGAAGGUUUUCGGAUCGUAAACUGCUUUUCUCGGGGAAGAGAACGGACGGUACCCGAGGAAUCAGCCCCGGCUAACUACGUGCCAGCAGCCGCGGUAAUACGUAGGGGGCAAGCGUUGUCCGGAGUUACUGGGCGUAAAGCGCACGCAGGCGGUUCUCUCAGUUCCUGGUGACAGUCGUCGGCUUCACUGACGAAGGAGUGGGAAGACGGGAGAACUUGAGGGCUUCAGAGGGACACGGAAUUCCGGGUGGAGUGGUGAAAUGCGUAGAUAUCCGGAGGAACACCAACAGCGAAGGCAGUGUCCUGGGAAGUUCCUGACGCUCAGGUGCGAAAGCCAGGGGAGCGAACGGGAUUAGAUACCCCGGUAGUCCUGGCCGUAAACGAUGACCACUAGGCGUGGGAGGUAUCGACCCCUUCCGUGCCGGAGCAAACGCGGUAAGUGGUCCGCCUGGGGAGUACGGUCGCAAGAUUAAAACUCAAAGGAAUUGACG